UUCAACUGGGAAUCACAUUCUCUAUUUAGAAAAUCAUAUUUUCAAAGAUCAUUCUUGAAUCUUAAACUGAACCAGAUCUGAACCAAAAGGAGUUGAGAGAAUUAUACCUGAUACGAAGAAGUAGUAUCUCCCAAUGGAGGUGUUCACGCCCAAGGAAGGAUCCAAAGACUGCUCCCACUGAAAAUGGCACAGUGCAGGAUGGAGCAGAAUCAGUAGGAUGGUACGUGAGCACAGCUUCCUUUCAAUCCUUUCUCAAAGRACUGAUGUCAAGAUCCAAUCUUGACUUCUCCCACAACUAGAGAUCGAACUGGCAAACAGGGCGGCAAGAGAGUAUUUGCANCCUUCGGGAUCAGAGUAAUGAUUAACAGGGACAGUCGGAGGCAUUCAUAUUUCAUAGUCAGAGGUGAAAUUCUUGGAUUUAGGAAAGAUGAACCACUGCGAAAUCAUUUGCCAUGGAUGUUUUCAUUAAUGAAGAACAAAAGUUGGGGGCACGAAGACGAUCAGAUACCAUCCUAGUCUCAACAAUAAACGAUGCCGACCCCGGAUCGUUGGAUGUUUCUUUUUGGACUCUACCAAGCUCCUUAUCAAAAAUAAAAGUCUUUGGAUUCUGGGGGGAGUAUGGUCGCAAGGCUGAAACUUAAAGGAAUUGAUGAAAGGGCACCACCUGGAGUGGAGCCUGCGGCCUAAUUCGACUCAACACAGGGAAACUUACCAGGUCUAGACAUAGUAAGGAUUGACAGACUAAGAGCACUUUCUUGAUUCUAUGGGUGGUGGUGCACGGCCGUUUUUAGUUGGUGGAAUGAUUUGUCUGGUUAAUUCCAUUAACGAACAAGAUCUUAGCCUGCUAACUAGCUAUGUGGAGGCACCCUCCGCGAUCAGCUUUUUAGAGGGACUAUGGUCGUCUAGGCAACGGAAGUUCGGGGCAAUAAUAGGUCUUUGAUGCCCUUAGAUGUUCUGGGCCAUGUAAUCAUUGAAAAUUUCAUCGUGAUGGGGGUAGAUCAUUGCAAUUGUUGGUCUUCAACGAGUAAUUCCUAGUAAGCGCAAGUCAUCAGCUUGCGUUGACUACGUCUCUACCCUUUGUACAUACCGCCCGCCACUCCUACCGAUUGAAUGGUGUGGUGAAGUGUUGGGAUCGUGGCGACGUGGGCGGUUCGCCGCUCGCGACAUUGCGACAAGUCCAUUCAACCUUAUCAUUUAGAGGAAGGAGAAGUCGUAACAAGGAUUCUGUAGGUGAACCAGCGGAAGG
rnacentral:ncRNA from 1 species